rnacentral:rRNA from 1 species
UACGGAGGGUGCAAACGUUGCUCGGAAUCAUUGGGCGUAAAGCGCACGUAGGCGGCUUCUUAAGUCGGGUGUGAAAGCCCUCGGCUCAACCGAGGAAGUGCAUUCGAAAACUGAGGGGCUUGAAUACUGGAGAGGAUGGCGGAAUUCCCGGUGUAGAGGUGAAAUUCGUAGAUAUCGGGAGGAACACCAGUGGCGAAGGCGGCGCCUGGGCAGAUACUGACGCUGAGGGUGCGAAAAGCGUGGGGGAGCAAAACAGGG